rnacentral:rRNA from 1 species
UACGGAGGAUCCAAGCGUUAUCCGGAUUUAUUGGGUUUAAAGGGUGCGUAGGCGGCCAUUUAAGUCAGAGGUGAAAGACGGUAGCUCAACUAUCGCAGUGCCUUUGAUACUGAGUGGCUUGAAUGAACUAGAGGUAGGCGGAAUGAGACAAGUAGCGGUGGAAUGCAUAGAUAUGUCUCAGAACACCGAUUGCGAAGGCAGCUUACUAUGGUUUAAUUGACGCUGAGGCUCGAAAGCGUGGGGAUCAAACAGG